AGGUUAUUUUCAUGAUCUGUUGGCAUGGGCUUUGUUCACAAACAGGGUAGAAAUAGCAGGAGUGUUUUGGUCAAAGUGCAAAAACCAAUUACUAACAGCGGUGAUGGCUAGUAGUAUACUGAAAAAUAUGGCGAACAAAGCAACAUCAGCAAAGGACAGGCAACUCUACAAAGAACUCCUAGACCAUUCAAGAUUAUUUGAGGUAAGAGUAGUUCAUAUGCAGAGCUCAUUGUAUGACGAGAUUGAAUAUGAUGCUAUGUCGCUGAUGGAAAAGAAGGAUGAAGUAUGGGGAAUACAUGUUUCGCCA